UUCAAAAGAGUAUUACGAAAAAACCAAAAUUGCAAUCAUUUAUUAUUUUUGUUUGUUGCAAGCACUUGCAGCAUAUUUUUUUUAGCAUGUUUAGUUGAUAAGCAACAGGAUUUGGUUCUAGGUUCCUAAAAGCUUUGCAAGCCAUUCAAAAAAGUUUUUAUUUUUGUAUAUACAUUUUGCAGACUUUUCGGAGCCCAACCAAAAAUAAAAAAAAAUAGCCAUAUCGGCGAUGAGUUACUCAAAUUAUAUUUUUUUAUACAUACUUAUGUAGUAUCAUUUUCUAAAAAAAAAAAAAGGAAAAACUGGAAAAUUAGCGAAAUAUUCAAUUAUGCGAUAUUCUUAAUGCACACUAAAUUUUUGUUGCUUAACAUUUGUAUUUUUAUUAUAGAAAAUUAAAUAAAAACUAUUGAAUAUUAAAAACACAUACAAGUAAAUAAAUUAAAAUAAAACAAACCAACAACACCAAAAGACACCGAAAAAAGAAUCGAAUUAAAAACAGUUUUUGCAUUUAAACCUUUGUGCACUGAAAAGCAACGAAGCUGAUUUAACUGUAAAGCGAAAAGUUAACUUUUAUAUUAAAGUCUUUAAAGUCGGUAGAUCUGUCAAUUGUUCAGCUAGAUGAGAUCGAUAUACAUAGUUUUUAUGCUAUAUAUGAAAAGCUGUUGGAAAUUAUCUAGCUCUUUAUAUUGAAGACUAUUUAAAAUUGAAAAUUGUCCAUAUUACGUAUUGAAAAGAGCUAAGAUUGAUAUAAUUGUUUACUUUUUGAAAAGAGUUUAAACUUCAAACAAAACAAGCCCGGAAAAUUGUCAUAAUAAAAAUGUACUAUAAAAUAAACACUUGUUAAAUUUAAGGCUUAAGCAAUUAAGAAUACUGAAGUCGGUUGUAAACGACUGGGCGAUACCCUGUGCGUAGCUUAAAUCCGGUUAAAUACUGAAUGCUUGCAAUUUUGAUAGUUCGAUUACUUGACUAUUAAUUAAUGAAAUUAAUACCCUUUAUGACACGGCAUACAGCUGCACGUGGCGCAAGGUAUCCAAAAUCGUGCGUUAAUUGGACUGUGUUGUGAUUCUCGAAUUGAUUUGCCGCAGUUGUCCCACACAAUGUCUGAUUGCAAAUUUCAUUUUGAUACGGUCAAAGUAGUUGGCAUUUCAUGCAAUUGAACCUGCCUAUGGGCCAAUUCAGGUAACCUCCGAGUCAAUGCGCUUGCGACGCGCUCUUGAGGCCAUUGCCGGCCCACUCAAUCAAUGGCGCUGGGUCUGGAGAGCGGAUCGUGUUAUUGGCUUGUCAUAUUUAUGCGACAGUUGCGAAAGGCUUUGUUUAUUGCCGUGCAGACGUGGGAAUGUCUAGAAACCCUCCAGGAAACCCGCUGCCUCAACCAAUUAGCGCAUGACAAGCAGCAGCGAAUUCGAGAGUUAACAAUGGUCCCCGACCACAAGAUGACUUGCUACCAACCAAUUCAGUGCAUACCACUAGCUGCCCACUACGCUCCACGACCAUUUGUCUGGGGCCAGUUGUAGCUGUUGUGGCCAAGGUCGACGGCGAUUCAAAAUAAUUAAUCGCUUAAUUGUCAUCAUCGUCGUCUCGUCAAUGGGAUGCUGUGCACGCUGAUGUUGCAUCUGGCUUUCAUUCGAUGGCGCCAAGGUCAGCUGGGGCAGCAAUAGAAGCUCGCCAGAAGCUGCUCCGUUUUGUGGUUAAGGUUUCCGCUCGUGUAAUUGGUAAUGUAAAACCAUUUUGGGCCAUUGUGUAACUGCGAUAAUUACAAUUGAGCUGACAAGAGCUGCUUUGUGUUUCGCAUUUCAAAUGUUUCGUCUUCGCUUGCGGCUCUGCGGCUUUGUAGGCCAUUCUUAUCGAGACCAUCUGCAUAGAAACUUUCACCCAACUUGGUAUACUUUUAACGCGCAUAAAUACAUUUGGUAUGAUUGUCUAUGGCCUGUCAUUUUUAUAUGACAUGCAAUUGGAAUUUUAAGUGCAGCCGCUUGCGACUCUUUCAAGUGCUCGAAUAUGGCAUUUGGUAUACAUAGUUAUGAAUACAGAUCAAAACGUGUUUCGGAAAAGCCAACUUCUCAGACCACAAAUCAUUUCACUUUCACAAGCCUUUCAAGGUCCAAAAAAAAAAAUAUAAAAAAACUUUAAACAACCCCAUGAAGCAUCAAUUUUCUAACAAAGCUUAAUAUGAAAACGAAUGAAAAAAAAAAUAA